GUCUUGUUCCACGCUGUGGAAGGUUUGUUCUUCGCAAUAAAUUUUGCUGCUGCUCACUCUUUGGGUCUGCACUGCAUUUAUGAUGUGUAACACUCACUGUGAAGGUCUGCAGCUUCACUUCUGAGGCCAGCGAGACCAGAAACCCACUGGGAGGAAUGAGCAACUUUGGAUGGGAGGAACGAACAACUGCAGAUGUGCCGCCCUCAGAGCUGUAGCACAGUGAACGUCUGCGGCUUCGCUCCUGAAGCCAGCGAGAUCACGAACCCACCAGAAGACAAAAUCUCUGAACACGUCCGAACAUUAGAAGGAAUGGACUCCGGACACGCCUUUUUUUUUUUUUUUUGAGACAGUGUUUUUCUCUGUCGCCCAGGCUGGAGUGUAGUGCAAUCUCGACUCACUGCAAGCUCUGCCUCUCGGGUUCAUGCCAUUCUCCUGCCUCAGCCUCCAGAGCAGCUGGGACUACAGGCGCCCGCUGCCACGCCCGGCUGAAUUUUUUUGUAUUUUUAGUGGAGACGGGGUCUCACGGUGUUAGCCAGGAUGGUCUCGAUCUUCUCAUCUGCCCGCCUGGGCCUCCCAAAGUGCGGGGAUUACAGGCGUGAACCACCGUGCCCAGCCACUCUUUAAGAACUGUAGCAGUCACCGCGAGGGUCCGCGGCUUCAUUCUGGAAGCCAUUGAGACUGAGAACCCGCCAAUUCCGGACACAAUUUCAUAGUACAUCAGUAUGGUCCAAUACAGGUACCUCCUCAGGAAACUCUGAAAAAGAAGAAGUAGAAAUAGUAUGAGACAAGAAACAGUCAUAUUCCAAAGGGCCAGUUCUGUGUUUAGCUCCAUGACAAGGGCACCAACUUCUUCCACAGGGCACCCAGGUCAGUAAGCUUAGAGGCAAUGAGAACUGCCUGCUUCUGCUCAUGUGUUCCAGCUUGUCCUUGCUCUAUCUCAGUUUAUAUUCUUCUUUCUUCCAACUGACUGUUUUAAACUCCAGCAUCAGAUGGGAAGACAACAACCUUACAGAGACUGCCUAAGCAGAUCAGACAAGUGCUUAAUGUCAAAUCCCUAUAACAAU
rnacentral:lncRNA from 1 species